rnacentral:rRNA from 1 species
AGAGUUUGAUCCUGGCUCAGAUUGAACGCUGGCGGCAGGCUUAACACAUGCAAGUCGAGCGGAGAUGAGGUGCUUGCACCUUAUCUUAGCGGCGGACGGGUGAGUAAUGCUUAGGAAUCUGCCUAUUAGUGGGGGACAACAUUUCGAAAGGAAUGCUAAUACCGCAUACGCCCUACGGGGGAAAGCAGGGGAUCUUCGGACCUUGCGCUAAUAGAUGAGCCUAAGUCGGAUUAGCUAGUUGGUGGGGUAAAGGCCUACCAAGGCGACGAUCUGUAGCGGGUCUGAGAGGAUGAUCCGCCACACUGGGACUGAGACACGGCCCAGACUCCUACGGGAGGCAGCAGUGGGGAAUAUUGGGCAAUGGGGGCAACCCUGACCCAGCGACGCCGCGUGAGGGAAG